rnacentral:rRNA from 1 species
UACGGGGGGAGCAAGCGUUGUUCGGAAUCACUGGGCGUAAAGGGAGUCUAGGCGGUUUGGUAAGUGGGAUGUGAAAUGCCCGGGCUCACCCCGGGACCUGCAUCCCAAACUGCUGAGCUUGAGUACAGGAGAGGGUGGGGGAAUUCCAGGUGUAGCGGUGAAAUGCGUAGAUAUCUGGAGGAACACCGGUGGCGAAGGCGCCCACCUGGCCUGCUACUGACGCUGAAGCUCGGAAAGCUAGGGAGCAAACGGG